rnacentral:pre_miRNA from 1 species
AGUGGGAUAGAUGGAUCAAAUGGAGAUUUCAUUCUAACUUUUCUAAGAAAUCUCCAUACUUCCUUCCAAAGUGGUUGCACCAUUUUGCAAUACCACAAGCAAU